AUGCCUAAACAUCAACGCAGGCACCCUAACAUUUUCUCCAUUCCUAUUUUUGAAAGCAUUUUCUCCCUUUGUUUUCCUAUCAAUUCUUCCAUUGGCACCCUAAAAGACAUAUAUGUAAUCGUGCUUAAUGUUUUCAUGUUUUUGGUUUACGCCCAAUACAAGAAACUUUCAAGGGAAAAUGUAUGA